AAUUUUGUGCAAUGGGGGAAACCCUGACACAGCCACGCCGCGUGCGGGAUGAAGGCCUUCGGGUCGUAAACCGCUUUUCUCGAGGAAGACACCCGACGGUACUCGAGGAAUAAGCAACGGCUAACUACGUGCCAGCAGCCGCGGUAAUACGUAGGGGGCGAGCGUUGUCCGGAUUCAUUGGGCGUAAAGAGCUCGUAGGCGGCUUGGCAAGUCGGGCGUGAAAUCCCCGGGCUUAACUCGGGAUGGUCGUUCGAUACUGCUAUGGCUUGAGUCUGGUAGGGGAGCAUGGAAUUCCUGGUGUAGCGGUGAAAUGCGCAGAUAUCAGGAGGAACACCGGUGGCGAAGGCGGUGCUCUGGGCCAGUACUGACGCUGAGGAGCGAAAGCGUGGGGAGCGAAC
rnacentral:rRNA from 1 species